UCACCAUGCUGGCGCUCAUCUCUGGCCUGUGAGCUGGUUCCGCUCCCUCUUCUGGGAGGAGGAGAUGGAGCUGAUGUCCUGGGGCUGCAGUUCUGGGACAAGCCCACCUUCCUCACUGUCCUCACGGAGCCAUUGCCAACCACAUCUGGCCCAGCACCACUCUCUCCACUCUCCAGUCCCCUUUCCCGCAGCCUUCCUCCAUGGAAGCUGCCUUUGCUUCCCCUGAACGCAAAUGAAGUAGGAUUAAUCAAAGAAUAUCUCCGCCAAAGACCUUGAACUAAAGAAGAAAUAAAGUAACUAAUAUACAUGAGAAACGUUCACUUCAAAGGUUGAUAGUUUGCUUUCUGAGUAUCGAUUGAAAGGAGCUCUACAAGCCAGUAAAAAGUGAGAUAUUUACCAAAGGUAAAGCAUACUCAAUGUUAUAAGCUGCCCAAGAACUGUAUGUGCAUUGCAAUGAGCUGUGUUUAGAGCAUUGAA